rnacentral:rRNA from 1 species
CAAACUGGAGAUGGCGACCGGCGCACGGGUGAGUAACACGUAUCCAACCUGCCGAUAACUCGGGGAUAGCCUUUCGAAAGAAAGAUUAAUACCCGAUGGCAUAAUAGAACCGCAUGGUUUGAUUAUUAAAGAAUUUCGGUUAUCGAUGGGGAUGCGUUCCAUUAGGCAGUUGGUGGGGUAAUCGCCCACAACCUUCGAUGGAUAGGGGUUCUGAGAGGAAGGUCCCCCACAUUGGAACUGAGACACGGUCCAAACUCCUACGGGAGGCAGCAUG